AGACUCGCCUGUGAUUAUUCUUUCCUUUCCCAGGAGUGCUGUGGUCUGUUUGUGACCAAUAUUCAGGGCCUUUGUGUAGCCCAAGGCCACCUUAACCUUUGCAGGGCCUACCCCGCACAGGGCACAUUAAACAUCAGUGUUUUGAAGCAAAAACCCUCACGAUUUUUUACCAUUUUGCUUGUGAAAUUAUUUGGCUGUGAGUAACUCGUUGCUUCUCAGUGUGCUUGUGUUUUAAAAAUUUCAUUGUGUAUAUUCAGAAAUUCUUGCAAAGUGAGAAAAACCUAACCCAGAAAUGUUACCAGAUGUGAUGAAAUGAAUUUGAAAAUCACAUUAAACAAUUGAUGAAGUUGAUACAAUGAUAAACUUUCUGGAAAUUUAGUGAAACGUAUGUUUUGAUUUGCUGUUUCUUUAUCUUGGAGCCAAUAACAUGUUUUGCUUUGAUUUUUUUUUUUCCCCCCUGUAGCCUAAACCUUUUGCAGGUCCUGAACAGCCGAAGGGCAACAGGCGACCCCUUCAUGGGGUGCAGGUGGAGCGGAAGGGCCUUAGAGGAGGUUUAGUUGUGGUGAUUAUUUGCUUUGCACCCAAAGAAAUGGCCCUUGUUUCUUCUCACAGCCAGGGGCACCGAAGCCACAGGAAGUGUGCAGCCCGGAGACUGCUAGAUUGAAAUGGGAUGAAAACAUUUGAAAGUCUUGUGCAGAAUUGUCUCUUCUUUGAGGGAAGCAGUGUUGGUCAGGAGCCAUAGGAAAGCUCACCUUCUGCACCUGCCCUCACCAAGGUGGGGAGCUAGGCGUCUCUGUGGUUUGGGAAUAUGGUUUUCAAAUGGCGAGGUCAGCACUGCCAAGUUAGUGACUACUCUUAGCUUACUUGUGGAAGUUUUCAGUACGUCUUAUGUGUUAAAAGUGAUUCCUAGACUUGCUUACAACUCCUGUAGUUAGUAUCCCAUCAGCUCGGCGUCUGCUGGCCAUCAGCCUACCGGAACUGCUUUUCCAGAUUAAAACCAAAUGCAGCCAUGAGUCCUAGCGGGUCACACGUUUCCACAGAUGAGAUGAAGGCAGAUUUGAAGUUGAAUAGUUAGGAAGGAGAUGGGUGUGGCUGGGACCUGCAGAGCAGAGCAGCCUUCUGGUACCGUGGGAGCCGCCUGUGGGUGAGUCUGGCCUUCCAGGAAGAGGCCGCAACUGACAUUCCACGUUAGGCUGUCGACCGUGCAGAAUGCGGCGGGGCUGCAGGCCAGCCUGGGCUCACUAAUAACGGAAGAAACGGGGAGCACUUUUGUGCCUGUGUGUCCUGUGUCAUGCACUUAAGAACCUGAGAAGGGCCCAGAAGCCCCCCGCGUUGCACAGGAGCCCGGGUGGAGGAGCCGAGCUUUGCUUUGCGAGGACGGGCCUCGUGCCCUGACAGCUGCUCCACUCUGGACCGCGGCAGCCGCUCUCCCUGUCCUCCAGGAGCUCACUUACAUCGGGCCGUGAGCUCCUCGGGGCCAGAGCCCGUGUCUGCCUCAGUGUCAGCGCCAGCGCCAGCCCAGGACCUCCGGAGGGCGCCGUGCCCGCCACACACAGGGCCCACAGACCAGCUCGUGGUGUUUCCGCAGCAGCUUAAUAUAGCUCAUCAAGGCAGCAGCCUCCUGAAUUGUUGAUGUGCAAAUUUUCUGAAAUUGUUUUCACUUUAAUCAGGAUAUUGCAAACAAAGAGGGGGAAUGUUGACCAUUGUUGAUUUGUAGCAGCAGGAAGAUAACAGUAUCCCAUGUUGUUUAGCCAAAUGUUUUGCCUGAAGUGAGAGGGCGUUUGGGGAAAUUAGUCAGUAAAGGAUGUAACGAUUUGUACCUGCGUAUGUAUCUUAUAUCACUAACUGUAGCAAAUCCAAGUGUCACUGUGCACGUCUCACCUUUAAAAAGGCCGCUUGGUCCUGGUUGUGGCUCUGCAGGUUCCCAGCAGAAACUCUGUACAGGGCACGAGGGGUCUGUUGCUGCUCACAGUUGCACAUGCGUCAUAUCAUUAAAAAAUUGGGAAACA